rnacentral:rRNA from 1 species
AACUGAUUGCUUAUUGCACCACAUGUGUUUUUCUUUGAAACAAACUUGCUUUGGCGGUGGGCCCAGCCUGCCGCCAGAGGUCUAAACUUACAACCAAUUUUUUAUCAACUUGUCACACCAGAUUAUUACUAAUAGUCAAAACUUUCAACAACGGAUCUCUUGGUUCUCGCAUCGAUGAAGAACGCAGCGAAAUGCGAUACGUAAUAUGAAUUGCAGAUAUUCGUGAAUCAUCGAAUCUUUGAACGCACAUUGCGCCCUCUGGUAUUCCGGAGGGCAUGCCUGUUUGAGCGUCGUUUCUCCCUCAAACCGCUGGGUUUGGUGUUGAGCAAUACGACUUGGGUUUGCUUGAAAGACGGUAGUGGUAAGGCGGGAUCGCUUUGACAAUGGCUUAGGUCUAACCAAAAACAUUGCUUGCGGCGGUAACGUCUACCACGUAUAUCUUCAAACUUUGACCUCAAAUCAGGUAGGACUACCCGCUGAACUUAAGCAUAUCAAAAGCGGAGGAA